GGGGGAUCCCAAGUGCCAUUCUUAACGGGAUGGCUUUUCAUUAGUGUAAAGAGCUUUUGGAAUAAGGGCUGGGCAAGACCGGUGCCAGCCGCCGCGGUAACGCCGGCAGCUCUAGUGGUAGCAGUUUUUAUUGGGCCUAAAGCGUCCGUAGCCGGUUUAAUAAGUCUCUGGUGAAAUCCUGUAGCUUAACUGUGGGAAUUGCUGGAGAUACUAUUAGACUUGAGACCGGGAGAGGUUAGAGGUACUCCCAGGGUAGAGGUGAAAUCCUGUAAUCCUGGGAGGACCGCCUGUUGCGAAGGCGUCUAACUGGAACGGUUCUGACGGUGAGGGACGAAAGUUAGGGGCGCGAACCGGAUUAGAUACCCGGGUAGUCCUAACCGUAAACGAUGCGGACUAGGUGUUGGGGUGGCUUUGAGCUGCUCCAGUGCCGAAGGGAAGCUGUUAAGUCCGCCGCCUGGGAAGUACGGUCGCAAGACUGAAACUUAA
rnacentral:rRNA from 1 species